UAGGGAAUCUUCGGCAAUGGGGGCAACCCUGACCGAGCAACGCCGCGUGAGUGAAGAAGGUUUUCGGAUCGUAACGCUCUGUUGUAAGAGAAGAACGUGUGUGAGAGUGGAAAGUUCACACAGUGACGGUAACUUACCAGAAAGGGACGGCUAACUACGUGCCAGCAGCCGCGGUAAUACGUAGGUCCCGAGCGUUGUCCGGUUUUAUUGGGCGUAAAGCGAGCGCAGGGGGUUUAAUAAGUCUGAAGGUAAAGGCAGUGGCUUAACCAUUGUUCGCUUUGGAAACUGUUAAACUUGAGUGCAGAAGGGGAGAGUGGAAUUCCAUGUGUAGCGGUGAAAUGCGUAGAUAUAUGGAGGAACACCGGUGGCGAAAGCGGCUCUCUGGGCUGUAACUGACGCUGAGGCUCGAAAGCGUGGGAGCAAACAGG
rnacentral:rRNA from 1 species